rnacentral:rRNA from 1 species
CGAAGAUGCUAAUACCGGAUAACAACACUAGACGCAUGUCUAGAGUUUAAAAGAUGGUUCUGCUAUCACUCUUGGAUGGACCUGCGGUGCAUUAGCUAGUUGGUAAGGUAACGGCUUACCAAGGCAAUGAUGCAUAGCCGAGUUGAGAGACUGAUCGGCCACAUUGGGACUGAGACACGGUCCAAACUCCUACGGGAGGCAGCAGCC